UACGUAGGGGGCGAGCGUUGUCCGGAUUUAUUGGGCGUAAAGGGCGCGUAGGCGGUUUCUUAAGUUUGGUGUGACAGUGGGUGGCUUAACUACCCAAGGCCUCUGAAAACUGGGGAACUUGAGGACGAGAGAGGGACAUAGAAUUCCGGGUGGAGUGGUGAAAUGCGUAGAUAUCCGGAGGAAUACCAAAGGCGAAGGCAGUGUCCUGGAGGGUGACUGACGCUGAGGCGCGAAAGCUAGGGGAGCGAACAGG
rnacentral:rRNA from 1 species